ACGCAUAUUGCGCUUUCUGGUAUUCCGGAGAGCAUGCCUGUUUCAGAACCGUUUUACCCUCACAAACCCCACUCUUUUAACUUGUUUAAAGGCGUGGGCAAGUGGAUAUGAGAGUUUUCCGUGCGCUAAUUGAAAGAUAAGCCGCGGUCGCUUGAAAGUAAAUGUCGGAUUGCUCUUUUUAAAGCUAGCCCUGCGACAUAAAAGACGUGAUGAUGUGGGUAAACCACUUUUAAAGCGUCGAAAGAAGGGAAAUGAGGAUUUAAAGGCUUAGCGAGUCCUGUAAUCGCACAUGGGUAAUUAUUACCUGAAUGCGUGGAUUUGACAGGCGUCCUUUUUUUUAAAAGGGCGAAACCCUGAACUUUUGGUCUGUAAUCAAGCAAGAGAACCCGCUGAACUUAA
rnacentral:misc_RNA from 1 species